AGAGUUUGAUCCUGGCUCAGAGUGAACGCUGGCGGCAGGCCUAACACAUGCAAGUCGAACGGCAGCACAGUAAGAGCUUGCUCUUAUGGGUGGCGAGUGGCGGACGGGUGAGGAAUACAUCGGAAUCUACUCUUUCGUGGGGGAUAACGUAGGGAAACUUACGCUAAUACCGCAUACGACCUACGGGUGAAAGCGGAGGACCUUCGGGCUUCGCGCGAUUGAAUGAGCCGAUGUCGGAUUAGCUAGUUGGCGGGGUAAAGGCCCACCAAGGCGACGAUCCGUAGCUGGUCUGAGAGGAUGAUCAGCCACACUGGAACUGAGACACGGUCCAGACUCCUACGGGAGGCAGCAGUGGGGAAUAUUGGACAAUGGGCGCAAGCCUGAUCCAGCCAUGCCGCGUGGGUGAAGAAGGCCUUCGGGUUGUAAAGCCCUUUUGUUGGGAAAGAAAAGCAGUCGGUUAAUACCCGAUUGUUCUGACGGUACCCAAAGAAUAAGCACCGGCUAACUUCGUGCCAGCAGCCGCGGUAAUACGAAGGGUGCAAGCGUUACUCGGAAUUACUGGGCGUAAAGCGUGCGUAGGUGGUGGUUUAAGUCUGUUGUGAAAGCCCUGGGCUCAACCUGGGAAUUGCAGUGGAUACUGGGUCACUAGAGUGUGGUAGAGGGUAGCGGAAUUCCCGGUGUAGCAGUGAAAUGCGUAGAGAUCGGGAGGAACAUCCGUGGCGAAGGCGGCUA
rnacentral:rRNA from 1 species